rnacentral:lncRNA from 1 species
AUGAUAUAGCCACAAACUCUUGUACAAGAUAAGUUUAUACAAGAGUUUGUGGUUGUAUCAUCACUCAUAAUUAAAAGAACAGUACAUGGCAAGAGCUCUGUGUCAAAACACUAUUCUCUUUUUGGAUUCUUUGAUGGUAUAGUUUACAAGCUUUGUCUAAGGUUAGUAUUACAGUUUUUUAAUCAAGAAGAGCUAUGGUCUUUUUGGAUUCUUUGAUGGUAUAGUUUACAAGCUUUGUCUAAGAUUAGUAUUACAGUUUUUUAAUCAAGAAGAGCUAUGGUCUUUGCCGCUCAAUGGUGUUUGUUUGCUUUUAGUAAUUUAUGAUGUUGGGUUUGUUAGAAAUGACCUCUACUGCUAGACUUAUCUAUUUUGUUAUUGGUUUUUUUUUUUUUCACUUUUCUCUGGAAG